UACGGAGGAUGCGAGCGUUAUCCGGAUUUAUUGGGUUUAAAGGGUGCGUAGGCGGGCUUUUAAGUCAGCUGUGAAAGUUUGCGGCUCAACCGUAAAAUUGCAGUUGAUACUGGGAGUCUUGAGUAUGUUAGAGGCUGGCGGAAUUCGUGGUGUAGCGGUGAAAUGCUUAGAUAUCACGACGAACCCCAAUUGCGUAGGCAGCUGGCUAGACCAUAACUGACGCUGAUGCACGAAAGUGUGGGUAUCAAACAGG
rnacentral:rRNA from 1 species